UGCAGUGCAUCCCAUCUCACUCUGUGUCUUUCAGAGGAGAAUUCUGCUCAGCAUGGUUGUGUUUCAUGCAACGUCAUACAGGAGUGCAUGACUGCAAUUGGUUGUCGUAGCCAAUGAUUUACCAGUCACCGAUGAUCAUCAAUCAAUGAGGAGUUCUUGGUCUUGGAGGCAAGCUGGACCUUCACCAAUGCAUGCAAUUUUUCUCUCAAAGCCUGGGUGGAACCUGGAUGAGAAGGAGCAUUGAGAUGCACUUGGCAUGCUUUUUUCAGAGGCCCAUGUUUCUUUUCCAAAUGGAGGGUAAAUAGACUUUUUUCUUGCCCUAAAGAAAAGAGAGAAUCAGGCUUGUUUAAUAAUAGACAAUGUAUCUGUUGCUCACAAUGUGAAUGGCCAUGUCAUCAGCGGGGCACCUUCAAAGAACUCAGAAAACUUGGAAUGGUGGCACACAGCGAAGGGAAUCCACUGGUCUUCUGGUGAGUGGGGGCACACAAUUCAAAAAUUAUUGUCCGGCUUUUUUGAAACCACCACCAUUAUUCAGAACUCAAGAUGUGAGAACACACACAUGUCAACCACCUGGAAAAAUGUCCCAUAACCAAGAAUUGCCAUGAAAACUCAUCUUUAGGAAGGAGGAACUCUUUCUCACCUGAGAUAUGAAGGCAGGCAUGCCCAAACUAUAUCAAAGGUACCUUAUCUGGACUUGGCCUCAGUCCUGGAGGACCUUCUGUCUCAGCCUACUGGAUGGAUUCCACAGGAGCAGGGAUACCUUCUUCAGAGAAGGCCUUGGGAAUAACUGUUAGUUUCUGGGCUGAAGGACAUCACCCAGAUGCCUGGCCUCAUUUUCUCAGAAAGUGAAAUAGUCUCCAGUAAUCUGAUCGCGUUUGAUUACUUGUGGUGAGCCUCAACUGGGUGCUGAGAAAUUAGAGAACUAGGAAUGGUUGCACAGAGCAAAUAGAAUCCAUUGGUGUCCUGGUGAGAGGGGGCACACAAGAUAAAAUGACUGUCCAACUUUUUGGAAACCACCACCUUUCUUCAGAACUCAAGAUGUGAGAACACACACAUGAUAACCACCUGGCAAUAUGGCCCAUAGAAAGCUUUUCCAUGAAAACACAUUUUUGAGAAUGAGGAACUCUUUCUCACCUGAAAUACAAAGGGAGGCAUGUCCAUGCUGUAUCAAAAGUACCUUGUCUGGAUUUGGCUCCAGUCAUGGAGGAACGUUUCUCUCAGCCUACUGGAUGGAUUCCACAUGAGCAGAAGCUGACCAGGAAAUAAGCUGCUAUCCCAGCAACAAAGGGCUGCAACCAGGUGGCUGGCCACACAUCCUCUGAAAAUGAAAUAUUCUCCAAAACGCUGUUCCUGUUGACUUAUGGGAUACCUUCUUCAGAAAAGGCCUUGGGAAUAAUUGUUAGUCUCUGGGAUGAAGGACGUCAUCCAUGUGCCUGGCCUAUUUUCCUCAGAAAUUCAAAUAGUCUCCAGUAAUCUGGUCACGUUUGGUUACUUGUGGUGAGCCUAUGGGAGUCUUUCCAAAGGAAGCCUCAAAGGAGGAUGCCUAGCUGGGUCAAUGAUAAAACCUUUCCCCUGUCUCUACAGAGGUUUUGUCUUCAAAGUCAUGCAUAAGCUGACACGAACAAGUGGAAAAAUAUCCCAUGCUCAUGGAUCGGAAGAAUCAACAUUGUGAAG